ACGGAAGGCAGCAGUGAGGAAUAUUGGUCAAUGGGCGGAAGCCUGAACCAGCCAAGUCGCGUGAAGGAUGAAGGUAUUAUGUAUUGUAAACUUCUUUAGCAGUGGAGUAAUAAGGCGGUCGUGACCGCUGAUGCAAGUACACUGAGAAUAGGGAUCGGCUAACUCCGUGCCAGCAGCCGCGGUAAUACGGAGGAUCCGAGCGUUAUCCGGAUUUAUUGGGUUUAAAGGGUGCGCAGGCGGCUUUUUAAGUCAGUGGUUAAAUCGUGGAGCUCAACUCCAUCUCGCCAUUGAUACUGGAGAGCUUGAUUGCGGUCGAGGUUGGCGGAAUUCGUCGUGUAGCGGUGAAAUGCAUAGAUAUGACGAAGAACACCGAUUGCGUAGGCAGCUGACCAGGCCGUAAAUGACGCUCAUGCACGAAAGUGCGGGGAUCGAACAGGAUUAGAUACCCUGGUA
rnacentral:rRNA from 1 species